CACCGCCCGUCACACCAUGGGAGUGGGUUGCUCCAGAAGGCGUUAGUCUAACCGCAAGGAGGCAGCCGGCCACGGUAGGAUCAGCGACUGGGGUG
rnacentral:rRNA from 1 species